UACAGAGGGUGCAAGCGUUAAUCGGAAUUACUGGGCGUAAAGCGUGCGUAGGCGGUUAUGUAAGUCAGAUGUGAAAGCCCCGGGCUCAACCUGGGAAUUGCAUUUGAGACUGCAUAGCUAGGGUGCGGAAGAGGGAAGCGGAAUUUCCGGUGUAGCGGUGAAAUGCGUAGAUAUUCGCAAGAACACCAGUGGCGAAGGCGGCUCACUGGCCCGAUACUGACGCUGAGGCACGAAAGCGUGGGGAGCAAACAGG
rnacentral:rRNA from 1 species